rnacentral:rRNA from 1 species
UACGUAGGGAGCAAGCGUUGUCCGGAAUCAUUGGGCGUAAAGAGCGUGUAGGCGGCUUGUUAAGUCUUGCGUGAAAUCUCGGGGCUCAACCCCGAGCGGUCGUGAGAAACUGGCAGGCUAGAGUGCGGGAGAGGAGAGUGGAAUUCCUGGUGUAGCGGUGAAAUGCGUAGAUAUCAGGAAGAACACCCGUGGCGAAGGCGGCUCUCUGGACCGCAACUGACGCUGAGGCGCGAAAGCGUGGGGAGCAAACAGG